UACGUAGGGGGCCAGCGUUGUCCGAAGUUACUGGGCGUAAAGAGCGCGUAGGCGGGCCCUUAAGUGGGGGUGAAAGGUUGGGGCUCAACCCCAACACUGCCUUUCAUACUGGGGGCCUUGAGUGCGGGAGAGGCGAGUGGAAUGGUCGGUGUAGCGGUGAAAUGCGUAGAUAUCGAUCGGAACACCCAUGGCGAAGGCAGCUCGCUGGCCUGCAACUGACGCUGAGGCGCGAAAGCCGGGGAGCGAACAGG
rnacentral:rRNA from 1 species